rnacentral:rRNA from 1 species
GCUCAGAUUUGAAAUCUCGUUGCCAUAGAGGCAUCCGAAUUGUAAUCUGUAGAGGAGUAUUCGAGUAUGGCUUUGGCUUAAGUUCCUUGGAACAGGGCGUCAUAGAGGGUGAGAACCCCGUUUACGGCCUUUGUCUUAUGCUUAUGUGAAUCUCUUUCGAUGAGUCGAGUUGUUUGGGAAUGCAGCUCUAAAUGGGUGGUAAAUUCCAUCUAAAGCUAAAUACUGGCAAGAGACCGAUAGCGCACAAGUAGAGUGAUCGAAAGAUGAAAAGAACUCUGAACAGAGAGUUAAAUAGUACGUGAAAUUGUUGAAAGGGAAGCACUUACUACCAGACACACUUGUAGCUGAUCAGCCUCCAAUUUUUGGUGGUGCACUCAGUUGUAAGUGGGUCAGCAUCAGUUACAGCGGUGG